CCCUAUUAUAUUUAUGAUUUAAAGUUUAUGAGGUAGUAAAUGUUAAAGUCAGGAAACUUAAAGAAUUUGGCGGUGUUUAUUCUUAUUAGAGGAAUAUGUUUUAUAAAUGAUAGUCCACAAAUAUCUUACUUAGUUUAAUUAUUUUGUAUAUCUCCGUCUUAAAAGAUUUUUUAUAAAUAUAUUUUAUAUAACUUAAAGGGGUUAAGUCAGGUCAAGGUGCAGGUUAUAAUUAAGUAAAAAUGUAUUACAGUAAAAUUAUUUAUGAAUUUAUUAUGAAAUAUAAUAUAGAAAAUGGAUUUAAUAGUAAAUUUAUUUGUAUAAAAAUGAAUUGAAUUAGGUAAAUAAACAUGCACACAUCGCCC
rnacentral:rRNA from 1 species